rnacentral:tRNA from 1 species
GGCCACGUAGCCAAGUGGUAAGGCAGUUCUCUGCAAAAGAACUAUACGCCGGUUCGAUUCCGACCGUGGCCU